CCCCCCCCCAAUCCCUUAAGCUAGGAGCAACCAAGUGCAAAGAAUUUGCAGACUACAGUAACAGGAACAAAAAAAGAGCAGAAAUGUAAUACAACCAUCUGCAUCAAUCUCUGCAACCCAACAAGUAGGCUAUCAAGGCCCCUGAAAUGCAUCCUUAUUAGGGAAUGUCACUCCAGCAACUUCUUCAGUACUUGCAACUAGACAUACAACAAGAGACCAACUAUUUCACAAGUCUUGACAAAAUGAAGAAAAGACAAAAGAGAAGACAACAUGAGUAGUUUAGAUUGCAUCCUUUUUUUAUAAAUGGUCUAUUUUUUCGGUGAAUGGUCUGUUCUUUUUGUAACUGUGGAUUUUAUUGAUAAUAUGGCAAAACUUUUCAAUAUGGCACUCGAUGGCCUAUUCUUUUUGUAGAUAUGGAUUUCAUUCAAAAC